AUUUUUAUACGACCGCAAAAUUUGUAAAAAUUUUCGUCGUAUAUUGCUAUCACGUUGGCGUCUGCGUCGUCGUCGUCGUCCGUCGUCCGAAUACUUUUAGUUUUCGCACUCUAACUUUAGUAAAAGUGAAUGGAAAUCUAUGAAAUUUUAACACAAGGUUUAUGACCACAAAAGGAAGGUUGGUAUUGAUUUUGGGAGUUUUGGUCCCAACAUUUUAGGAAUUAGGGGCCAAAAAGGGCCCAAAUAAGCAUUUUCUUGGUUUUCGCACUAUAACUUUAGUUUAAGUGAAUAGAAAUCUAUGAAAUUUUGACACAAGGUUUAUGACCACAAAAGGAAGUUUGGGAUUGAUUUUGGGGGUUUUGGUUCCAACAGUUUAGGAAUUAAGGGCCAAAAAGGGCCCAAAUAAGCAUUAUUCUUGGUUUUCGCACAAUAACUUUAGUAUAAGUAAAUAGAAAUCAAUGAAAUUUUAGCACAAGGUUUAUGACCACAAAAGGAAGGUUGGGAUUGAUUUUUGGAGUUGAGGUCACAACAGUUUAUGAAUUAGGGGCCAAAAAGGGGCCCUAUUAAGCAUUAUUUUUGGUUUUUGCACCAUAACUUUUGUAUAAGUAAAUAGAAAUCUAUGAAAUUUAAACACAAGGUUUAUGACCAUAAAAGGAAGGUUGGGUUUGAUUUUGGGAGUUUUGGUCCUAACAGUUUAGGAAUAAGGGGCCCAAAGGGUCCAAAAUUGAACUUUGUGUGAUUUCAUCAAAAAUUGAGUAAUUGGGGUUCUUUGAUAUGCCGA
rnacentral:lncRNA from 1 species